UGUAGGCAUAUUUGAAACACUACAGCAUCUUCAGACCAUAAUUAUAACGGUUUGUUGUUUCUGUGGCUUCAAAGAUAAUAGAAGUUGUUCAUAAAAUUUACACAAUGCUGAUGUAUCACAUACAAAAUAUAGACUCAGUGUCAUGGGCAAAAUAUUCCAUUAUCUAUUUUGCAUGGGAAGAAACAGCUGAGAAACCUACAGACCAUCAAAUUAUGAUUCAAGUGUUAUCAUUACCAGCAAUUAGAGAUGGAAACCCAGAGGUGCUAACCAAAAUACUUAGCUGUAAUCAGACCCUUUAAUUCAGAGUGCUACUUGUUUCCUGAUGAUACUUAGCUUGGAGCUGGGCAAGGCAAAGCCGGCAGACUGGAAGAUUGCCUAAUGCGCUGUGACUGACAUGUAAUCGAAUAUUUAACCACUGGUCCACAUGUCUGCGGUGAAGCCACCCCUUGAUGCUACUGAGACUACAGAUGCAUAGAAUUUACAGAGUUUUCCUCAUCACGGGGAGUAAGAAGAGCCCUUUCAAUAUGUAUAAGAAGUACAAUCACACACUCACGACUAUAUUUUACGCCUGCCUGCAACCUAAACAGCUGAACAGAUUGUGAUGAAAUUCAGACACUGAUAAUUUGAUGAAAAAAUACUUUCUGGCCAAAACUCUGGCUUCCAGAAGUUUUUCGAAUCUAAACAUUUUAUUUUGAAAUGGUGAGGGGAGAGACCAGUCUUAUGGAAAAUCUAUGAAGAAAACAUGUAGUGCAUGUAUUUUUUUAAAAAAAAUCCUAUGCAAAACAAAAACAUUUGUCCAGCUUUGGGAUUUUUCCAAUGACUUGGGUGCAUUUUCUCUCCCUGACUUCAGAGACUUUAGCUAUAUUUAUCUAAUAAGCACUCUUUGCCUACCAGUGUUUCAAUGGUGGUUUAACAGUAGUUUCAGUGUCAAAUUGCCCUUUCCUCAGCAGGGAUUGUUAAGCCUUUCUGUAUUAUACUUCCAAGACACUCAGGAGCUGGAGUUGGAAGAUAUAAUAUUUUCUUUGAAGUUUGCAUUUCAC